CGGUCGCAGCUAACCCGCAAGGGAGGCAGCCGGCCACGGUAGGGUCAGCGACUGGGGUGAAGUCGUAACAAGGUAGCCGUAGGGGAACCUGCGGCUGGAUCACCUCCUUUCUAAGGAUGAUCCUUCAGAUCAGCUCACGCUAUCUAUCGGAUCGUUUUAGAAACAUUCAGGGGCCAACAGUUUCAGGAUUGUUGAGCUCCAUUGGCGGGAUUUCGCCGUCUUCGUUUCUCUUUCUUCGCGGACGAACACGCGCCAGGGGCUGAGCGCUGUGCGAUGCACUGGCGCAAGUCGGUUGCGCGCCGGCAUGCCUCUUGUGUUAGGGGCUUGUAGCUCAGUUGGUUAGAGCGCGCGCUUGAUAAGCGUGAGGUCGGAAGUUCAAGUCUUCCCAGGCCCACCACGCUUCGCCGUCGGCUACGCGUGGCGCUGCCACGUAGUAGGAAGAGCGAAGCGUGCCCGGCAUAGCCCGAAGGGCGACGACGGGCGGUACGACGCAUUCGUCUUCUGGUACGGGGCCAUAGCUCAGCUGGGAGAGCGCGUGCUUUGCAAGCAUGAGGUCGUCGGUUCGAUCCCGUCUGGCUCCACCAGAUGGAAUUGAAGAUCGAGAAUGCCUCGAACAAAUCGUCCGCGAAACAUCACUUCGCACGCAUUGGUCCGGAUGGACGGUGACGUGCGUGUUUUCUGACAUCGUAAAGAGGAGAUCGAUCCGAGUUUGGAUCUGCGAAGCAAUUCGCGGGUACCAUUCAUAAUCUCCAGAUCGUUUUCGGCGCUCGCACAUUGCAACUCAUCGCAAGAUGAGUGAGAUGAGCGAGUUGUAAAACGAUCUUUUUAGCGAAGCUUGACCGCCUCGCUAUCGGGCCGAUCUUACGAAGCAAGCUGGUCUUUCUAGUCAAUGUCCGGCUGUGACAAUCGCAUUCAUCGAGGAUGCGCGCCUGAGACUUCGGUUUUUGGGCAGUUGCACAGACAACAUUCUGCCGAGUGUGUGGACAUUGAUAAUGAGAGCAAUCAAGUGCCUUAAGGGUGUUCGGUGGAUGCCUUGGCGCUGAGAGGCGAUGAAGGACGUGCUACGCUGCGAUAAGCCGUGGGGAGCUGCGAAGAAGCUUUGAUCCACGGAUUUCCGAAUGGGGAAACCCACCUUCGAUAGCUGGAACUCCAAGAUCUCCGAUCUUGGGGUUUGAACAGCAAUGUUUGAGACCAAGCCGCGAGGUUUUGGAUUUCCAGUUAUCAAGUGAAGGUAUGAGACUUCCGAAUAAAUANGGAGGUUUUAAGCAACCCAGGGACUA
rnacentral:misc_RNA from 1 species